rnacentral:lncRNA from 1 species
CUUUGAUCCAUUUGUGUUUUCGUCCUUCUCUGUUGAUCAGAUUUCAAGAAGUACAUCAUCCCAUUAAAUUGUAGCCAUAAUGGAAACCAGAACACCAACCCCGGCACCAGAAUUGGUUGCCCUAAACAACACAAACUUACCGUCUCUGGCCAACCCUGAGAUCGCUCCGACAUUGUCUCAUGGCUUCCUCACAUUUUUCCCAGAGG